rnacentral:rRNA from 1 species
UGAGGAAUAUUGCACAAUGGGCGCAAGCCUGAUGCAGCAACGCCGCGUGCGGGACGAAGGCCUUCGGGUCGUAAACCGCUUUUCUGGGGGAAGAGCAAGGACGGUACCUCAGGAAUAAGUCUCGGCUAACUACGUGCCAGCAGCCGCGGUAAAACGUAGGAGGCGAGCGUUAUCCGGAUUUACUGGGCGUAAAGCGCACGCAGGCGGCUCUGUUAGUCGGACGUGAAAGCUCUCGGCUUAACCGGGAGAGGCCGUUCGAUACUGCGGGGCUUGAGUGCAGUAGAGGGAAGUGGAAUUCCGGGUGUAGUGGUGAAAUGCGUAGAUAUCCGGAGGAACACCAGUGGCGAAAGCGGCUUCCUGGACUGUAACUGACGCUCAGACGCGAAAGCUAGGGUAGCAAACG